UACGUAGGGGGCGAGCGUUGUCCGGAUUUAUUGGGCGUAAAGAGCGUGUAGGCGGCCAGGUAGGUCUGCUGUGAAAACUCGAGGCUCAACCUCGAGACGUCGAUGGAAACCAUCUGGCUAGAGUCCGGAAGAGGAGAGUGGAAUUCCUGGUGUAGCGGUGAAAUGCGCAGAUAUCAGGAAGAACACCCGUGGCGAAGGCGGCUCUCUGGUACGUGACUGACGCUGAGACGCGAAAGCGUGGGGAGCAAACAGG
rnacentral:rRNA from 1 species